rnacentral:ncRNA from 1 species
CCCGUCAAUCGGGGUAGUGGUUUUGCUUUUGGAACCCUCAUCCAAUAACAGCAAACUAAAAAGGAACCGUGUGCAAAUCACGGGCAGUCGUGCUACUGUAAGUAUCAGUUCAGAUUAUCGGAACAGGUUUUUGCCCAGGUGUCCCAUUGUUGUAGAUGUUAAUUAGCUUAUAAUGAGACAAAAACGACGAGAAGGGCGGCAAAAAUGAUACAAGCCAGGAGACUUGCCGCUACUCUCAAUGUCCAU